rnacentral:rRNA from 1 species
GAACGGCGGCCGCAUGCCUUACACAUGCAAGUCGAACGGUAACAGGUUUUCGGUAUGCUGACGAGUGGCGAACGGGUGAGUAAUACAUCGGAACGUGCCCGAGAGUGGGGGAUAACGGAGCGAAAACUUUGCUCUUAUCCCGCAUACAAUAUCUAGAUGAAAGCACGGGACCGCAAGGCCUUGCGCUCACGGAGCGGCCGAUGGCAAAUUAAGUAUAUGGUGGGAUAAAAGCUUACCAAGCCGACGAUCUGUAGCUGGUCUGAGAGGACGACCAGCCACACUGGGACUGAGACACGGCCCAGACUCCUACUCGAGGCAGCAGUGGGGAAUUUUGGACAAUGGGCGCAAGCCUGAUCCAGCCAUGCCGCGUGCAGGAUGAAGGCCUUCGGGUUGUAAACUGCUUUUGUACGGAACGAAAAGACUCCUUCUAAUAAAGGGGGUCCAUGACGGUACCGUAAGAAUAAGCACGGCUACCUACAUGCCCGCGCCCGCGGUCAUACGUAUGGUGC